rnacentral:rRNA from 1 species
UACGGGGGGAGCAAGCGUUGUUCGGAUUUACUGGGCGUAAAGGGCGCGUAGGCGGCCAGCACAAGUCAGUUGUGAAAUCUCCGAGCUUAACUCGGAAAGGUCAACUGAUACUGCGGGGCUAGAGUGCGGAAGGGGCAACUGGAAUUCUCGGUGUAGCGGUGAAAUGCGUAGAUAUCGAGAGGAACACCUGCGGCGAAGGCGGGUUGCUGGGCCGACACUGACGCUGAUGCGCGAAAGCCAGGGGAGCGAACGGG